rnacentral:lncRNA from 1 species
GGCAAACCCACGCAACGCUGGGUACAGGUGCAAACCUACACAACGCCAGAAGGUCCAGGCACAGGGGCAAACCCACGCAACGCUGGCAGGUCCAGGCACAGGUGCAAACCCAUGCGACGCCGGCAGGUCCAGGCACAGGUGCAAACCCACGUGACGCUGGGUACAGGUGCAAACCUACACAACGCCAGAAGGUCCAGGCACAGGGGCAAACCCAUGCAACGCUGGCAGGUCCAGGCACAGGUGCAAACCUACACGAUGCUGGACACAGGUGCAAACCCAUGCAACGCCAGCAGGUCCGGGCACAGGUGCAAACCUACACUACGCUGGACACAGGUGCAAACCUACAUGACGCUGGACACAGGUGCAAACCUACACGAUGCUGGACACAGGUGCAAACCUAUGUGUCACCGGCAGGUCCGGGUACAGGUGCAAAGCUACACAACGCUGGACACAGGUGCGAACCCACGCAAUGCCAGCAGGUCUGGGCACAGGUGCAAACCCACGCAACACUGGCAGGUCCGGGCACAGGUGCAAACCCACGAGAUGCUGGACACAGAUGCAAACCCACACAACGCUGGCAGGUCCAAGCACUCAGUGGCCACUCAAG